rnacentral:rRNA from 1 species
AGUGAACGCUGGCGGUAGGCCUAACACAUGCAAGUCGAACGGCAGCACAGUAAGAGCUUGCUCUUACGGGUGGCGAGUGGCGGACGGGUGAGGAAUACAUCGGAAUCUACUUUUUCGUGGGGGAUAACGUAGGGAAACUUACGCUAAUACCGCAUACGACCUACGGGUGAAAGCAUGGGAUCUUCGGACCUUGCGCGAUUGAAUGAGCCGAUGUCGGAUUAGCUAGUUGGCGGGGUAAAGGCCCACCAGGGCGACGAUCCGUAGCUGGUCUGAGAGGAUGAUCAGCCACACGGGAACGGAGACACGGUCCAGACGCCUACGGGAGGCAGCAGUGGGGAAUAUUGGACAAUGGGCGCAAGCCUGAUCCAGCCAUACCGCGUGGGUGAAGAAGGCCUUCGGGUUGUAAAGCCCUUUUGUUGGGAAAGAAAAGCAGCAGGUUAAUACCCCGCUGUUCUGACGGUACCCAAAGAAUAAGCACCGGCUAACUUCGUG